AACUAACGCUGGCGGCGCGUCUUAAACAUGCAAGUCGAGCGGUAAGGCCCGCAAGGGUACACGAGCGGCAAACGGGUGAGUAACACGUAGGUAAUCUUCCCUUCAGUGGGGGACAACCUGCCGAAAGGCAGGCUAAUACCCCAUAUUUCCAGUCCUUCCACGGUGGGAUUGUAGAAAGCAGCAAUGCGCUGAAGGAUGAGCCUGCGGCUGAUUAGCUUGUUGGCGGGGUAACGGCCCACCAAGGCGACGAUCAGUAGCCGGCCUGAGAGGGUGUCCGGCCACACUGGGACUGAGACACGGCCCAGACUCCUACGGGAGGCAGCAGUUAAGAAUCUUGCGCAAUGGGCGCAAGCCUGACGCAGCGACGCCGCGUGCGCGAUGAAGGCCU
rnacentral:rRNA from 1 species